AGAAUCAACGCUGGCGGCGUGCCUCAGACAUGCAAGUCGAACGCGAAAGUUCCCUUCGGGGAGCGAGUAGAGUGGCGCACGGGUGAGUAACACGUAGGUAAUCUACCUUUGGGUGGGGAAUAACAGCCGGAAACGGCUGCUAAUACCGCAUAAUGCAGCGGCUCGACAUCGAGACAGUUGUUAAAGCGGGGGAUCGCAAGACCUCGCGCCUAAAGAGGAGCCUGCGGCGGAUUAGCUAGUUGGUGGGGUAAUGGCUCACCAAGGCAUCGAUCCCGUA
rnacentral:rRNA from 1 species